UACGGAGGGUGCAAGCGUUAUCCGGAUUCACUGGGUUUAAAGGGUGCGUAGGUGGGCAGGUAAGUCAGUGGUGAAAUCUCCGGGCUUAACCCGGAAACUGCCAUUGAUACUAUCUGUCUUGAAUACCGUGGAGGUGAGCGGAAUAUGUCAUGUAGCGGUGAAAUGCUUAGAUAUGACAUAGAACACCAAUUGCGAAGGCAGCUCACUACGCGAAUAUUGACGCUGAGGCGCGAAAGCGUGGGGAGCAAACAGGG
rnacentral:rRNA from 1 species